CACGUAGGGGGCGAGCGUUGUCCGGAUUUAUUGGGCGUAAAGAGCUCGUAGGCGGCUCAGUAAGUCAGGUGUAAAAACUCCAGGCUCAACCUGGAGACGCCAUCUGAUACUGCUGUGGCUAGAGUCCGGUAGGGGAGCAUGGAAUUCCUGGUGUAGCGGUGAAAUGCGCAGAUAUCAGGAGGAACACCAGUGGCGAAGGCGGUGCUCUGGGCCGGAACUGACGCUGAGGAGCGAAAGCGUGGGGAGCAAGCAGG
rnacentral:rRNA from 1 species